CGUUUCCUCCACCGUUACACGUGGGAAGGAUUUUUUAUUUUUUUCCAUUUUUUUCCCCUCCACCCUGUUUCAGAUCCCUUUCUCUCUCUCUCCUCCCUUUCUCUUCUUUUUUUAUUUCUGCUCGAGUUCUAAAGGGUACUUUUUAAUUCCGAUUUUUUUGUCCGUAUUUGUUGUUUAUGCGAAAGUUAUGCGAAAAACAGGAAAAAGUGAUAUACGCGUAACCGUGUGGUUCGGAUCGCUUGCAAGCAUUUUCAAAUUCCCAGCGAGAUAUUUGUAUUUCAUGAAAUUAAAGUUGGUAAAAUAAUUGUCAUUAUUCGAAAUGAAAUAUGAAUUCCUUUUUAUCCAUGCUGCUAUGUUAAGCUCGUUGCAUUCGUAUUUUUUAUAUUGUUAUAAAGCAGAUC